rnacentral:ncRNA from 1 species
UUCUUCGGGGCAGGGUGCAAGUCCCUACCGGCGGUAUAGUCCGCGAACACCGCGAUCCGGCUGUGGAUCAAGGUGAAUGAACCGGUGAGAUUCCGGUACCGACAGUAUAGUCUGGAUGAGAGAAGA